rnacentral:lncRNA from 1 species
CGGGCUCCCCCUCCCCCACCUCACGCAGGAGCCACAGGCGAGGGAGGGCUGAGGGUGGCUGCCACUCUGCUGAGGGUGGCUCCAGGGCGGGGGAGCUGCCUGAUGGGGCUGGAGCCCAGUGGGCUGAGGGCUACUGAGCAGGAGGCUGAACACAUUCCCAGGGGCUCCAGGGGCUGGGCCGGGGUACUGCAAGCAGCACCCCCCCGCCUCCCAGCAGUAUGGCCCAGACCCCAGCCCCUCACAGGGCCUAAUCUGCUUCAGGAGCAAGCGAGCUGCCAUCCCGCAAAGCCCUCAGCACUGCUCCAGGCUGCUGCUCCCCCUGGACUCUGCCCCCUGUGGAAGACACGUUGACCCCACCCUGUGUCUGUUUGUGGAGCCCCAAAGAUCAGCUAGGCCACCCCCUCAAUAAUCAGUUGGGGAAAAAGGCCAAAAGUCAGCCCAGGACCCCAGCGAGUCAUGUGGAGCUGCCAGUCUAGCCGGGAGGGAAGCUGGGACGCUUUUCAGUGCAAAGUAGGUCUUUCCCAGCGGUGGAAGAGCAGACCCGUGCGCGUGCUCUGCGGCAGGGACCUGAGGAAGUGCCUGUGGCCAGCGUGAGGGUUACAUGAGCAAAGCAGGAGCCUGACCCGGGUGGGUGAGGCUGCCCACCUGCCCUAGCCCAGGGUUCUCUCUGGCCUCGGCCUCCACCUGGCAGCUGGGCCCUGGGUUUCCAUGGGCCUCAGUUUGCCACCCUGUCCAAUGGGCACGAUGACGAAGCCUCAGGACGGUGUGGCCACACUCAAGUGCACACUCACUCAGUCCCCUCCUGAGGCUCCCACAUCAGCCCCAGAAGUGAGAGGAAUGGGGCACCCCCCGGGGGCGGUGAGGACAGCGAUCGAUCGUGGGAGGCUCUGCCUGGGGCAGGUAGUCCUUCACUGCGGGUGGGACCAGUGCUUAUGAAGAGGGCCCAGCAGUAACCACUGCAGGCCACGUGGCCAGGCUUCUGUCCUACCACGCCACUGGCGUCACGCCAGGAGGUGGCCUUCCUGGAUAGCAUCGGGUGUGGCGCCCUGCUGUGUCUCCGUACAAUGUUAUUUAUGGACGCUGAAACUUGAAUUUCAUCUUUUUCACAAGUAGUGAAACGGGAGAUGGGUAGAGGGCCCUGCCCCCUGACUUGGUGCCCCUGGCCAGGUGCAGUGUGCAGUGCAGGGACUGGGACACCUGUUUGGGCCCACAAGCCGUAUUCCAGGUGAGGAUCAGACAGCAGGUGGCCAGCCCCAGCACAGAGUCUCCUGGGCUGGGGCUAACUGGGUAUGGAGGGGGUGGGCGCUACUCUGCAGUG